UAUAGGUUUAGGAGAGUUUGAUUUUCUUUUCUUUACUGAACUGUACAAAUGCAAGACUUAAUUGAAAUUAUGAAUGCUUGAUGCAGGGCUGAUACUUGUGGGAGCUGCAAGUUGUGUACUGUAUUUGGAGUGGCAUGUAAUGUGCAUUGUUUAUAUAUAUGCAUCGGGCUCUUGAACUAAUGUAAUGCCAUUCGAACUGGUCUAAGAUGUGAAGAUGUUUGACCGCCUUGUGACAGAUUUUGGUUUACAUCUUUGUCUGUGAGUUAUGCCGGUUAGCUCGGAAUUGGCUUGUUCACUCGGCUUGUGUAUGGCUAGUUUGGAAUACUCUUCGAUCAAUCUGCGGUAAAACUCAGACUCAGCAGCAAUCACAUUUGAGUCAACAAUAUAGUCAAUUUUGGGAGAUUUAUUUAAUUUGUUUAUUACAAGGUUCUGUUUGUAAAACAAGAUUCUGUUUGUAAUAACUCCCUUUUUGUGAUGUAAUAAAUGGACCUUGUGGA